CACUCCCGGGAUUUGAACCUGGGACCUUUUGGUCUGCAAGUUCAGCAGCUCAGUGCUUUAACACACUUCGCCACCGGGGCUCCCAUAGGGAGCUAACUGGCAUCUAUAGUAGAGCCAUUAAAAUUAAUGGGAUUUAAAUUUGCUCUGACCAACAAAUUCCAAUCUCUGCUGGGUAGGGCUAACACUGGCUCUAAAGAAGCCAAGCUUUUUGUAUGCACCUGCAAAAGGCGUCUAGAAUGGCUUGUAGGUCGUCUUCUGACCACAUUAUCAUCCGCAUACUGGAGUUCUAUAACAGAUGCUAUGGCGGCCUUGGUUUGGGCUGCCUCCUUGAACGAGGCAGGCAGCCGACAGGGGUCGCCGGCGCGUGAGGGGAUCAAGCCCCGCCUCUUUUUGGGGCCGAGAGCGCGCUGCCUCUUUUUUCACGCAUCCGCCGCGAGGGGAGGGUCUCGCGCCAUGGCCAAGCGCAGGGCGGAGGCGUUGGCGCUCGGAGCACCCUGCGCGCGCUUCUUCCCUCCCGCGCCGAGGCCGAAGCGCCGGCGGAGCGAUCUAGAGCAGCGAUGCGCGGCGCUGCGGUGGGGGGAAGGCGGUUGCUGCCCCAAGCGCAAGCGGGAAGCGAUGGAGGGAGAAGGAGGAGGAGGAGGAAGAGGCGGCCACGAGGAGGAGGAAGCGGCCCCGCAAAACAAGCGGCGCGUGGAGGAGGCGGAGGCGGAGGCAAGCGGGCCUCCAGAUGAGGAGAAAAAGAAAGAGUUGGCAGCCUCCCCGGCCCGGGAGAAUGAAGAUGAUGUUUGGUGCUACAACUCUUUCCAGUACUGGAGAUCUCCUUUACCCACCAUCAAUCUGUCUGAUAUUCUGGAUUUAGAAAGUAAGAAUGCAGUAGCUGACAGAGACUCCAGCAGCAUUGGCCUGUCGGAAAUGGAAACCUGAAAAAAUGUUACUUUUGCAAAUCUACAAUGCAGAAGAAAUUCUGUUUCAUUUUGAUUUUGAUUGGAAAAGUAAGCAGAGGUAAAACUUUGAAGGAGAAAGCAGACUUUGAAGGAAGGAUAACUGUUCUUGAAAGGAAGGAACAGUACUAAAGUUCAUCAAAAGACUGCAUAUGGAAGCUUUAUGAAGGGAAUGCAAAGCUUAGAGAUCUAAAGGAAUAUUUGAAAACUGGUAUUUACAAAAAGACUACUUCAUAACCAGUAAAGUGAAGUUGAACAACAGAAAAUGCUUCAGAAGAGUGUUUUAAUGUGUAGCCAACUAAUAUGGCAUCAAAGAGAUCUGUGUUGUCUUUGUUAGGACAAUCAAACUAAACUACAACAAUAAAAAUGCACACUUCUAUUUAGAAUGAACAUUAUUGUGGCAGUCAUUUUCUGCCAGAAAUUAUCACAGUUAUACUUGCUAAAGAUAACUUCGUUAUAUCUUAAUUGGGAGUUUAUAAUUGAUGUUAAGAGUUUAGAAUACUUUGGUUUAACAAAUGCAUAUAACAUAAUGAACAGGGAAAGGGAACUAUCCAGAGCAAUAAAAACAAUUGGGCACAUUUUUGCUAAAUGAGGAAAGUUGUGAUCCUGAAGAUUUCUAGCUCUGGCUCACAUAUUUUUUGUGGCUUGUGUUACAUUUUUCCAUUGACGUUAGUAUAAAUGUCCCUUAGCAUUGCAUCAAUGCGACUUACCGAAAUCAAAAACUGUGUUUUUAAACUUCAGACACUUGUUUCUUUUUCAAUCAAAUAAUGAGCAUUUUUACAUUAUAACUUUUCCAUAUUUUAUAAAAAAACCCUUUAGAUGGUGGGAGAAGAAUCCUACUAUUUGUAUUAAGUAUGUAGUAGUUUUCCUAGGGGCAAUCUCAUUUUUAUUGUGCACAUUUGACUGAAUAUGUUUUUAUACAUAUACAUUUCCUCUAUGAAAGAAAAUAUAGACUCAUGUGUAAUUGGGGAUGUGAAUUGUUUUUUAAUUGCUUUUCCACAAUUUAGCAGUGCGCACUUCACCCUUUAUUUUUGUCCAGAUAAUACACUAGGUGUACUUCCAACGCAGAGAGGUUCAUUGUGAUACACCUUCUCAAAACAAGCCUAGUGAGUUCAUACUCAUACAUCAUAACUUUGAUGAUAUGGGUUCUGUGAUGCUUGCUCCUAGGAUUUAGGAUUACAACCCAAUCAGGUGUGACAUAGAUGCACAUGCAUAUUCCUUCUUUAGAGCCUAAGAAGGAAGUAUAUGGAAAUAUUUCCUUUUCAAUGCUGUAUUGAAGUGUUCAGAAGGAAAUACACUCUCUCUCUUCCACCUGUUUAACUUUUUUUCCACCUGUUCCGUUAGGAGUGUAAUGUGACAAACUGAAAUUUGUAUUUCACAUGUUUAAUCCAAUUUUAAAGAACACUUUUGUCUACAGCAACAAUAAUAUCCUGAAUAUGAUGGUUACCACUUAUUUUGUGGCAACUGCUAUAAUUAGUGAGCAAUCUCACAAAUGCCUUGCAGUAUUUCAUCUAUAUAUAGAUAAAGCAUAUAUAAAGUCCUAAAUACCCUAAAAGCAAGAGAUCCUGUCCGAUUUGGAAGCUAAGCUGAAUCAGUUCUAGUUAAUACUUGAAUAGGAGACUACCAACAAAUAUAGAUGUAGGCUAUAUUUCAGAGGAAGAAAGGGGCAAAUCCACCUCUGAAUAUUCUUUGGCUAAGAUAAUCCUGUGAAAUUCACGGAGUCACCAUAGGUUGACAGGCAACUUGAAGACACACACACACACAAGUAUUCUAUAAAACAAGAUUUAGUGUGAUCCAGAUUGUCACUUGCAGUCUAAGAUGGUUGUCUUUAUACAGUACACUUCAGGUGGCAAUAAGGAAAUCUAGUAAACUAUAUGAAUUUGAAACUGUUUUCAUUGGAAAGCUUUUAUUCUGAACCAAGUCACUGGGACUUUAAACAUCACAUUAUGAAUGUUAAUCAUUCCCCUAAUGUGAUAUAUAAACCUGAAACCAGAUCAAGUCACAUGUUCCUGAUUACAAGGUGAUAGUCUCGUCAGUUUAAUUGCUGUGCAAAUACUUCACCAGUGUUUUCGGAGUCCAUCUCUUUCCCCUCUCCCAUUAAAAGCCUUAAGUGUAAGCACAUGGAAAUUUGUAAUAGUUGCUUUUCAGCAUUGUUUCCAUUCGCUACCAGGGCUAAGCAUGCUUUAUCUGAUUGUGAGGUAGAUGGAAACUUCAGUCUGAAAUCCACUUACUGAAGGCUUCAAAAAUGUUAUUUUUUCUCGGUGAAGAUGAAG
rnacentral:lncRNA from 11 species